rnacentral:lncRNA from 1 species
UCAAGGUCGGGGAGGCACCGGAGACGGCGAAUCAUCAGCGACGGCGGUCGGAGCAGAGGAAGAAGACGGGGUCGGGGUCGUCGAUCCAGGGGCUCUGGCGUCGAUUCACUUGGCGGUGAGUAUGAGGAAGACCAAGCGAAGCUCGAGGCACGGUCGGGAAGGCGUGGCUAUGGCUGGAGAGGCGUGGCUACGACGACGAGCUCUCGGCUGCGACGGUCACGGCGGCACAGGGGAGAGGAGAGAAGAGGGGGCGCGUCUGGGGGUUGGGAUGGAACGGGACAACGCCGGGAGGCUUAUCCC